rnacentral:lncRNA from 1 species
AUGAAAGUGAUCAAAAGCAAAGAAUACGAGUUCAAAGAGGAAGAAAAAAUUCCUAAAGAAACCUGAUCUUCAAACCUCCCACUUUUGUCUGAUGCUGUAGCAUCUGUAGAAUAUCUUACCUUCUUUAAAUAAUGACCCUUAACUAGUUUAAAUAACUUUUCCCCAUGAGAGUUGACUAAGUUAAAUAAUUUACUUACAUAUCUGGGAUCAAAAUUGAAGCUCCUCCCCUUAGUGAUUCAAGUUUCCAGAAUGCACCUGUCUUCUUCUAGCAGUAGUUAAUGAGAAAGUUGUGUUAAGUAAGACAAUACAUUAAUUAAUUACGUUUGGAAGAAACAGGUUUUACAGGCUUAAACUGGUAUUAAAAUCCUGCAAAGUACUUGGUUUGGCUUUUAAAAAUUUUACCUUUUGAUUUUCAUUCACCCAUUAAACUUUUUUUAGUACUAUUACUGUGGUAUAACAUUGAUUUAGAUGCUAUUAAUGGGCAGAUGAGGCCAAGCGCAGUGGCUUAUGUCCGUAAUCCCAGCAAUUUGGGAGGCCAAGGUGGGUGGAUUGCUUGAGCUCAGGAGUUGGAGACCAGCCUGAACAACAUGAUGAAACCCCAUUUCUACCAAAAAUACAAAACUUAGCCAGUUGUGGUGGCUCACACCUGUGGUCCCAGAUACUUGGGAGGCUGAGGUGGGAGGAUCACUUGAGCCCAGGGGUCUGAGGUUGCAGUGAGCCAAGAUAAUGCCACUGCACUCCAGCAUGGGUGACAGAGUGAGACUCUGUCCCAGAAAAUAAAAAAUAGCUAGAUAAAAUCCCAGUAUUAAAAAAUACAGGUGAAGGGGUUGGGGAGCAGCUGUGUUAGAGAAAAGAAACUAAUGUUUUAAUAGGCACUUACUCACUGCCAGUCUUGUUUAUAUACAGCAUUCUAUUUCAUACUCACAAUAAUCUCAUGACAUAAAUGAUCAUUGAGAACUGAAACUAGUAAAACUUCCCACACCUAUGUGUCAUGUGGGACCCUUAUUAACCUCAGUAGGGAUGGCACCAGUUUCAAGAGGCCGAAGAAGAGAAGCAGAGCCAGCAAAGGAGACAGGGCUUUAUUAGCAGGAAACUUACAUACAGAGCAAUCCCAUGGCGGCAGGCUGGCAGAAGAACCAUCACUGCUUGUAAAAAACAAAAACAGAAAAAUCAUGCAAUUUAUAUAGCAUUUUCACUUAACACCCUCCCCUUAACCUCCAUCUGGCAACCUUCAUUUAAUCCCAAACAAAGGGCCUCAAUCCCCUGUACAGCCCACGUUCCAUGGGACAGGAUGGGAGCUCAGACGUUCCUCUAUAGAUAAGGAAUGACUCUUCGGAUUGGCCACUCCUGGAUUCCUUAGCUCAGAACUCCAAACACACGUUCAGGUGCAUCUGCCACACAGGGUCAUUAUCAGGGUAUGCGUAGUUAUUGCUGUCAGGUGUGUCAACCAUACACUAUGUUAAACAGUCCUGGGAUUGGACAUACCUCUGUGUGAACCAGUACUGAGAAAAAGCAAAAAUAACCUAGCUACUUUCUCCUGGAAGACAAGACCACGAGCCAACUAAAAUAGUUUAAUUUCAAGAUUAACUAUAUGCUUGCCACACUUGAGCUCACCAGACCAAAGCUACUAUGUCAUAAUUUCUGCCCAAUCCUCAACCAGUUCUCCACCUUAAAACUACCCAGCCCUCACCCUAACUUCCAUAAGUAUCCUCCUGACUUCUCCCUUCUGGGAUAUUACUAAGUCUCUGUCA